ACGAACGCUGGCGGCAUGCCUCACACAUGCAAGUCGAACGAGACCUUCGGGUCUAGUGGCGCACGGGUGCGUAACGCGUGGGAACCUGCCCUUAGGUUCGGAAUAACUCCCCGAAAGGGGUGCUAAUACCGGAUAAUGUCUUCGGACCAAAGAUUUAUCGCCUUUGGAUGGGCCCGCGUUGGAUUAGCUAGUUGGUAGGGUAAAAGCCUACCAAGGCGACGAUCCAUAGCUGGUCUGAGAGGAUGAUCAGCCACACUGGGACUGAGACACGGCCCAGACUCCUACGGGAGGCAGCAGUGGGGAAUAUUGGACAAUGGGCGAAAGCCUGAUCCAGCAAUGCCGCGUGAGUGAUGAAGGCCUUAGGGUUGUAAAGCUCUUUUACCCGGAAUGAUAAUGACAGUACCGGGAGAAUAAGCUCCGGCUAACUCCGUG
rnacentral:rRNA from 1 species